rnacentral:rRNA from 4 species
CGUAGGUGAACCUGCGGAUGGAUCAUUUC